GGGCACAUGGUGAAGUGGCUAACACGCCUCCCUCCGGAGGAGGAGAUCCCCGGUUCAAUCCCGGGUGUGCUCG
rnacentral:tRNA from 1 species